UUAUCAAAAACAUGUCUUUUUGGAAUAAAUAUAAAGUCAAACCUGCCCAUUGAAAAAUUUAAAAGGCUGCAGUAUUUUAACUGUACAAAGGUAGCAUAAUCAUUAGUUUUUUAAUUGAGAACUAGUAUGAAUGGUUAAAUGAGAUAUUAGCUGUUUCAAAUAAAAAUAAAUAAAACUUAAUUUUUAAGUUAAAAAGCUUAAAUUUAAUUAAAAGACGAGAAGACCCUAUAGAGUUUUAUAUUUUUUAUUUUAUAAAUUUUUUAUAAUUUUUUAUUUUUAAAUAAUAAAAAGUAUUUUGUUGGGGUGACAAUAAAAUUUAAAAAACUUUUAAAAAUUUUAACAAUAAUUUUUGUUUAAUUGAUCCAUUAUUAAUGAUUAUAAGAUUAAAUUACCUUAGGGAUAACAGCGUAAUUUUUUUGUAGAGUUCAUAUCGAUAAAAAAUUUUGCGACCUCGAUGUUGGAUUAAGAUUAAUUUUAAAUGCAGCAGUUUAAAUAUUAGGUCUGUUCGACCUUUAAAUUCUUACGUGAUCUGAGUC
rnacentral:rRNA from 1 species